rnacentral:rRNA from 1 species
GAUGAACGCUGGCGGCGUGCCUAAUACAUGCAAGUCGAGCGAACAGACGAGGAGCUUGCUCCUCUGACGUUAGCGGCGGACGGGUGAGUAACACGUGGAUAACCUACCUAUAAGACUGGGAUAACUUCGGGAAACCGGAGCUAAUACCGGAUAAUAUAUUGAACCGCAUGGUUCAAUAGUGAAAGACGGUUUUGCUGUCACUUAUAGAUGGAUCCGCGCCGCAUUAGCUAGUUGGUAAGGUAACGGCUUACCAAGGCAACGAUGCGUAGCCGACCUGAGAGGGUGAACGGCCACACUAGAACUGAGACACGGUCCAGACUCCUACGGGAGGCAGCAGUAGGGAAUCUUCCGCAAUGGGCGAAAGCCUAACGGAGCAACGCCGCGUGAGUGAUGAAGGUCUUCGGAUCGUAAAACUCUGUUAUUAGGGAAGAACAAAUGUGUAAGUAACUAUGCACGUCUUGACGGUACCUAAUCAGAAAGCCACGGCUAACUACGUG